UCGGAGAGUUUGAUCCUGGCUCAGGAUGAACGCUGGCGGCGUGCCUAAUACAUGCAAGUCGAGCGAACUGAUUAGAAGCUUGCUUCUAUGACGUUAGCGGCGGACGGGUGAGUAACACGUGGGUAACCUGCCUGUAAGACUGGGAUAACUUCGGGAAACCGAAGCUAAUACCGGAUAGGAUCUUCUCCUUCAUGGGAGAUGAUUGAAAGAUGGUUUCGGCUAUCACUUACAGAUGGGCCCGCGGUGCAUUAGCUAGUUGGUGAGGUAACGGCUCACCAAGGCAACGAUGCAUAGCCGACCUGAGAGGGUGAUCGGCCACACUGGGACUGAGACACGGCCCAGACUCCUACGGGAGGCAGCAGUAGGGAAUCUUCCGCAAUGGACGAAAGUCUGACGGAGCAACGCCGCGUGAGUGAUGAAGGCUUUCGGGUCGUAAAACUCUGUUGUUAGGGAAGAACAAGUACAAGAGUAACUGCUUGUACCUUGACGGUACCUAACCAGAAAGCCACGGCUAACUACGUGCCAGCAGCCGCGGUAAUACGUAGGUGGCAAGCGUUAUCCGGA
rnacentral:rRNA from 2 species